rnacentral:rRNA from 1 species
CCUACGGGAGGCAGCAGUAAGGAAUAUUGGUCAAUGGAGGCAACUCUGAACCAGCCAUGCCACGUGCAGGAAGACAGCCCUAUGGGUCGUAAACUGCUUUUAUACGGGAAUAAACUUUGAUUCGUGAAUCAAGCUGAAUGUACCGUAAGAAUAAGGAUCGGCUAACUCCGUGCCAGCAGCCGCGGUAAUACGGAGGAUCCAAGCGUUAUCCGGAUUUAUUGGGUUUAAAGGGAGCGUAGGCGGCCUAUUAAGUCAGGGGUGAAAGACGGUGGCUCAACCAUCGCAGUGCCUUUGAUACUGAUGGGCUUGAAUAUAGUUGAGGUAGGCGGAAUGUGACAAGUAGCGGUGAAAUGCAUAGAUAUGUCACAGAACACCGAUUGCGAAGGCAGCUUACUAAGCUAUGAUUGACGCUGAGGCUCGAAAGCGUGGGGAUCAAACAGGAUUAGAUACCCUGGUAGUCCACGCCCUAAACGAUGAUAACUCGAUGUUGGCGAUAUACAGUCAGCGUCCAAGCGAAAGCGUUAAGUUAUCCACCUGGGGAGUACGCCCGCAAGGGUGAAACUCGAAAGAGUAGUAGACGGAGAGAGAGCGACGACGGACGACGACGGAGGGAGGAG